GCAGACGGUCUAGGCGCGCGUGCGGUGGAGGGAGGCAGCGACAAACUACACUUCCCAAUGCUCUAAAGCAACGGAAAUGACGUAAAGAGCCGACUGAGUUGGAGGGUUCGAGUAAAAAUGGCUGAAUAUUUAGCUUCGAUAUUCGGGACUGAGAAGGACAAGGUUAACUGCUCUUUUUACUUUAAGAUCGGGGCCUGCCGGCACGGGGACCGGUGCUCCCGGCUUCACAACAAACCGACUUUCAGCCAGACCAUAGUGCUGCUCAACCUGUACCGGAAUCCACAGAACACCGCCCAAACCGCAGACGGAUCACACUGUCACGUGAGCGACGUGGAGGUGCAAGAACACUAUGAUAACUUCUUCGAGGAGGUGUUCACGGAGCUGCAGGAGAAGUACGGGGAGAUUGAAGAGAUGAAUGUGUGCGACAACCUGGGGGACCACCUCGUGGGCAAUGUCUACGUCAAGGUGUCUGCUUUCCCCCCAAUAGAGCCUACAGGUGGAGGCAUUUCAGUGUCACCACUGAAGCCUCACAGCUUGAGUUUCGGCGUGAGGAGGAUGCAGAGCGGGCAGUGGCUGAACUCAAUAACCGCUGGUUCAAUGGGCAGGCAGUGCAUGCUGAGCUGUCUCCUGUCACCGACUUCCGGGAGUCGUGCUGUCGGCAAUACGAGAUGGGGGAAUGUACCCGGGGUGGCUUCUGCAACUUCAUGCACCUUCGGCCCAUCUCCCGGAAUCUUCGACGUCAGCUGUAUGGGCGAGGACCCAGGCGCAGAUCCUAAGACUAGUUCUGAGCAUCAUCCCAGGACCAGCGCCUAAAUCUCAACCCCAAAACCAGCUGGAACUCCAAACCCCCAAACCCAAGACCAGUCUGGAUCUCCAAUCCAGAGAUCAGUGCCUGAGCACCUGUCCUGAUACCACUCAGUAACUGGUCACCCCCAAGGUCCCAUACUGGUCACCGCCCCCGAGAAAGAAACCGAAGACGUUCCCCAGACCACCGGCAUGGCCGCUUCUGAGACCCUGGCUCCCUUGACCUCCACCCCUGACAGGCAUAAAUGUUCCUGGCCAGAA